rnacentral:rRNA from 1 species
GUGUCAGCAGCCGCGGUAAGACAGAGGGUGCAAACGUUGUUCGGAAUUACUGGGCGUAAAGCGCGUGUAGGCGGCCAAGCAAGUCGGGUGUGAAAGCCCUCGGCUCAACCGAGGAAGUGCACUCGAAACUGCAUGGCUCGAGUCCCGGAGAGGAUAGUGGAAUUCUCGGUGUAGAGGUGAAAUUCGUAGAUAUCGAGAGGAACACCGGUGGCGAAGGCGGCUAUCUGGACGGUGACUGACGCUGAGACGCGAAAGCGUGGGGAGCAAACAGGAUUAGAUACCCUGGUAGUCCACGCCGUAAACGAUGGGUGCUAGGUGUCGCGGGCUUUGACCCCUGCGGUGCCGCAGCUAACGCAUUAAGCACCCCGCCUGGGAAGUACGGCCGCAAGGCUAAA